AAGACCAAUUUUUUGUACUUUCCCUAAUAGAUUUUAUAGCCAAGGAGUCUUAAUUUACUGCAAAAAGCAAGGGCAAGAAUAGAUGCAAGCUUAAACAUCUCAAAUAACUUAGAACUACAAAAAAUACUAAAUGCUGACUUUUCAAAGAAAAAUUUCAACCCUGAGGAGAUAUAUAAUGUAUCAUCCAUCAUGAUUUCCUCAACAUUCAAAUAAAUAAACUUCAUAAUCACUAAGAAACAAUGAAGUUAAAAUUAAUAAAACUACUCAAAGAACACUAGAUGAUGACACAUGCAUUAUACGAGGA
rnacentral:misc_RNA from 1 species